UACGUAGGGUGCGAGCGUUGUCCGGAAUUACUGGGCGUAAAGAGCUCGUAGGUGGUUUGUCGCGUUGUUCGUGAAAUCUCACGGCUUAACUGUGGGCGUGCGGGCGAUACGGGCAGACUAGAGUACUGCAGGGGAGACUGGAAUUCCUGGUGUAGCGGUGGAAUGCGCAGAUAUCAGGAGGAACACCGGUGGCGAAGGCGGGUCUCUGGGCAGUAACUGACACUGAGGAGCGAAAGCGUGGGGAGCGAACAGG
rnacentral:rRNA from 1 species